rnacentral:lncRNA from 1 species
UUUAAAUACAGCGGUACCAUCCCCGUCCCCCAUAACCCUGGUUCCUCCAGGCACUUGGAGCCAUUGGUGGAAGGACGUGGACUCCUAGAAGGUGAUUCGCAAAGGUGCCACGUAAGCAGAGGAGCCGGGUAAGCAGAGGCCCAGUGCCACGUAAGCAGAGGAAGGCCCGGAGCCGGCUGCUGAGGUCCUGAGGGAGAGGGAGGGGCACCUGCUCAGCCUUGCCUGUGUGUGUGGAUCCUUCUCUCUCAGGGGAAGCUGCCUGGACAUGCGUGCGCCUUGCAGUUCUGUCCUGCCAGGCUGCCUGCUCUUCCUCUUGAAAGCAAAAGACUUCACUUGCUGAGGAUGCAACGAUGCUCUAGUGUCCCUUGCAGGAGCCAGUGUCAGAGCCAGGAGCCGUCGUGGGCAUCCCCUGCUCCAAAGUUACGAGUUCUGGUGAAGGGGUCAGGACAGCCCCUUUGAGAGUUCAGCAGAGCAGGUCUGCACAGGUCCCACGCCGUGCACAGCCCACACUCCACCUGCCCUGGUGCACACUGACGGCAGCAGCCAGCCGCGGGGACCCCAGGCGCAGUGUUGCCUCGUGAACGUUAGAGCAGCCUCCAGAGGCGGGUUCGGUCUGCACACCUGGUUCGCGGGUGACACAGUUGUGACUUGGCCCAGAAUGACAGCUUUAAAAGUGAAAUGGCAGCACGUCUCCAUCAUUACACAGAAUCCCAUGUGGGAAGACCCUAGUCGGAGGCCCCCACCCUUGCCCGGAACUGGACUUUGGGGCAGCAGCAAACUGCAGUGAGUGUGAGUCACACCUGAGGACAGGUGGGCUGUCUUCAGGCUCCCAACAGGUCUGUCGCUUAAGGGGCUGGGGAAUGGGGGCUGGAA